UACAGAGGGCCCAAGCGUUGUUCGGAUUCAUUGGGCGUAAAGGGUGCGUAGGCGGCGCGGUAAGUCGGGUGUGAAAUCUCGGAGCUUAACUCCGAAACUGCAUUCGAUACUGCCGUGCUUGAGGACUGGAGAGGAGACUGGAAUUUACGGUGUAGCGGUGAAAUGCGUAGAUAUCGUAAGGAAGACCAGUGGCGAAGGCGGGUCUCUGGACAGUUCCUGACGCUGAGGCACGAAGGCCAGGGGAGCAAACGGG
rnacentral:rRNA from 1 species